AAGAUAGAGUUUGAUCCUGGCUCAGGACGAACGCUGGCGGCGUGCCUAAUACAUGCAAGUCGAGCGGACCGGAUUGGGGCUUGCCUUGAUUCGGUCAGCGGCGGACGGGUGAGUAACACGUGGGCAACCUGCCCGCAAGACCGGGAUAACUCCGGGAAACCGGAGCUAAUACCGGAUAACACCGAAGACCGCAUGGUCUUCGGUUGAAAGGCGGCCUUUGGGCUGUCACUUGCGGAUGGGCCCGCGGCGCAUUAGCUAGUUGGUGAGGUAACGGCUCACCAAGGCGACGAUGCGUAGCCGGCCUGAGAGGGUGACCGGCCACACUGGGACUGAGACACGGCCCAGACUCCUACGGGAGGCAGCAGUAGGGAAUCUUCCGCAAUGGGCGAAAGCCUGACGGAGCGACGCCGCGUGAGCGAAGAAGGCCUUCGGGUCGUAAAGCUCUGUUGUGAGGGACGAAGGAGCGCCGUUUGAAGAAGGCGGCGCGGUGACGGUACCUCACGAGAAAGCCCCGGCUAACUACGUGCCAGCAGCCGCGGUAAUACGUAGGGGGCGAGCGUUGUCCGGAAUUAUUGGGCGUAAAGCGCGCGCAGGCGGUCUCUUAAGUCUGAUGUGAAAGCCCACGGCUCAACCGUGGAGGGUCAUUGGAAACUGGGGGGCUUGAGGGCAGGAGAGGAGAGCGGAAUUCCACGUGUAGCGGUGAAAUGCGUAGAGAUGUGGAGGAACACCAGUGGCGAAGGCGGCUCUCUGGCCUGUACCUGACGCUGAGGCGCGAAAGCGUGGGGAGCAAACAGGAUUAGAUACCCUGGUAGUCCACGCCGUAAACGAUGAGUGCUAAGUGUUAGAAGGUCACACCCUUUAGUGCUGCAGCUAACGCGAUAAGCACUCCGCCUGGGGGAGUAC
rnacentral:rRNA from 1 species